rnacentral:sRNA from 1 species
AUUAUUUUCUUAUUUUCUUUUCGUUUCAACAAUAUGUAUUUUUAUUUUAAAUCGAAGAUUUUUAAUUUAAAAUCAGCAGAUAGUGUUUGCUGAUCUCUGGGUGUAGUCUAUAACAGCGGCAUAUUAUCAAUCUAAGGAAAAUUGUUCCAAGCUCCCCCAUUGUCAACUCUAAUGGCCUAUUAGUCCUUGACACGCUUCCGUAAACAGCAGAAAACGGCAAUUUUUCCAAAAAAAGAACAAUAACUCCUUUUAAAUGUAUUUUUAUUGAGUCAUUAUUUAUGCCAAAUAAAUACCUUUAAGUAGCAGACUGUUGGCAAUCUUGGCAGGGAAUCUCAACAAACACCACAGGACACCCAAAAAGACGCACGCGCGCAUUUCAAGUAAGGCGAGGAUUCUGGGGCCAUACUGUGCGAAGUUUCUGUACAAAAUAGACACAGCACAUCAAAGACACAUUACAUGGAAGGACUAUUAUUUUAAGAGCUCAAGGAAGAGAGUAAAUAAAAUUGCAGUUAUUGUUUUUCGA